rnacentral:rRNA from 1 species
GUUUUAGCAGCCGCGGUAAGACGUAGGGCGCGAGCGUUGUUCGGAAUUACUGGGCGUAAAGCGCACGUAGGCGGAUUUGUAAGUCAGGGGUGAAAUCCCGAGGCUCAACCUCGGAACUGCCUUUGAUACUGCAAAUCUCGAGUCCGGAAGAGGUGAGUGGAAUUCCUAGUGUAGAGGUGAAAUUCGUAGAUAUUAGGAAGAACACCAGUGGCGAAGGCGGCUCACUGGUCCGGUACUGACGCUGAGGUGCGAAAGCGUGGGGAGCAAACAGGAUUAGAAACCCCAGUAGUCC